GGGAAUGCCAAAUGUUUGUUGAAGAACACGUUCAUCAAAUAUAACAAAUAUGAAAAUAAAAAUUGGCAUGCUGUGUCUGACAUAAUUGUCAAAAAGCUAAGGCUGAGUCCAUCACAGCUACUAUAUCUAUACAUUGUCUGUUACAAAUGGUGGAGUUUUUGGGGAUUGGACAUACCAAGAAUUUUGUACGAAAGGUCAUUAUGCCGUUGGUUACAAAAUGAAUAUUGAAGGGCCAGAUGACGAUAGAACAGAACUGAAUGCUAUCGAGAUUAUCUGUGGA